GUUACCCUUGAGCUGCUUCUUGGUGGCGGUUUCGAAGUCGAAGUCUUCGAGGCGGUUCCCGUCGACCACCACGACCCGGGUCUCUUCCGGGUGGGUGGCA
rnacentral:tRNA from 1 species